UAAUACGUAGGGUGCGAGCGUUAAUCGGAAUUACUGGGCGUAAAGCGUGCGCAGGCGGUCUCGCAAGUCCGAUGUGAAAUCCCCGGGCUCAACCUGGGAACUGCGUUGGAAACUACGAGGCUGGAGUACGGCAGAGGGGGGUGGAAUUCCACGUGUAGCAGUGAAAUGCGUAGAUAUGUGGAGGAACACCGAUGGCGAAGGCAGCCCCCUGGGCUAGUACUGACGCUCAUGCACGAAAGCGUGGGGAGCAAACAGGAUUAGAUACCCUGGUAGUCCACGCCCUAAACGAUGGCAACUAGUUGUUGGAGGAUGAACUCCUUUAGUAACGCAGCUAACGCGUGAAGUUGCCCGCCUGGGGAGUACGGUCGCAAGAUUA
rnacentral:rRNA from 1 species